rnacentral:rRNA from 1 species
GAAGUUCAAUCCUGGCUCAGGAUGAACGUUGGCGGCAUGCUUAACACAUGCAAGUUAGACGGGAAGUGGUGUUUCUAGUGGUGAACAGGUGAGUAACGGUUUAGAACUUGCCCUUAGGAGGGGAACAACAGCUAGAAAUGGCUGCUAAUACCUCGUAGGUUGAGGAGCAAAAGAGGAAACCACCUGAAGAGGGGCUAGUGUUUGAUUAGCUAGUUAGUGAGGUAAUAGCUUCCCAAGGCGAUGAUCAGUUUCUGAUUCAAGAGGAUGAUCAGCCACACUGGGACUGAGACACAGCCCAAACUCCUACGGGAGGCAUCAGUGGGGAAUUUUCCACAAUGGGUGAAAUCCGAACGGAGCAAUGUCGUGUAGAGGUAGAAGGCCUACAGGUCAUGAACUUCUUUUCCUGGAGAAGAAACAAUGAUGGUAUCUGGGGAAUAAGCAUUGGCUAACUCUAUGCCAAUAGCUGCGAUAAUACAAAGGAUGCAAGCAUUAUCCAAAAUGAUUGGGCGUAAAGCGUCUGUAGGUGGCUUUUUAAGCCCGCUGUCAAAUCCCAGGGCUCAACCCUGAACAGGCGAUGGAAACUACCAAGCUGGAGUAUGGUAUGGGCAGAAGGAAUUUUUCGGUGGAGCGGUGAAAUGCGUAGAGAUCGAAAAGAACACCAACGGUGAAAGCACUCUACUAGGCCAACACUAACACUAAGAGACGAAAGCCAGGGGAGCGAAUGGGAUCAGAUACCCCAGUAGUCCUAGCCAUAAAGGAUGGAUACUAGGAGCUAUGCAUAUCGACCCAUGUAGUGUUGUAGCUAAUGCAUUAAGUACAUGGGGAGUACAUUCGCAAGAAUGAAACUCAAAGGAAUUGACGGGGGCUCGUACAAGAGGUGGAGCAUGUGGUUUAAUUUGAUGCAAAGCGAAGAACCUUACCAAGUCUUGACAUGUCAGGAAUCCUUUUGAAAGAAAAGGGUGCCUUCAGGAACGCAUGCACAAAUGGUGCAUGGCUAUCAUCAACUUGUGCCAUAAGGUGUAGGGUUGAGUCCUGAAACGAGCGCAACCCUCGUGUUUAGUUGCCACUGUUGAGUUUUGAACCCUAAGUAGACUAUUUUUGAUAAGCCAGAGGAAGGUGAGGAUGAUGUCUAGUUAUCAUGCCCCUUAUGCCCGGGGUGACACAUAUGCUACAAUGGCCAAGACAAAGGGUCGAGAUCCCACAAGGGAGAGCUAACCCCCAAAACCCAUCCUCAGUUUAGAUAGCAGUCUAUAACUCGCCUGUAUGGAGCCGAAAUUGCUAGUAAUCUCCGGUCAGCCAUACAGCGGUGAAUUCAUUCUCGGGGCCUUGUACACACUGUCCGUCACACUAUAGGAGCUGGCCAUGCCCAAAUUCAUUACCUUAACCACAAGAAGGGGGAUGCCGAAGGCAAGCUAUUGACUAGAAUGAAAUCGUAACAAGGUAGCCGUACUAGAAGGUAUGGCUG